rnacentral:rRNA from 1 species
GCUCAAAUUUGAAAUCUGGCCUCGGCCCGAGUUGUAAUUUGCAGAGGAUGCUUUUGGUGCGGUGCCUUCCGAGUUCCCUGGAACGGGACGCCACAGAGGGUGAGAGCCCCGUAUGGUCGGACACCAAUCCUGUGUAAAGCUCCUUCGACGAGUCGAGUAGUUUGGGAAUGCUGCUCUAAAUGGGAGGUAAAUCUCUUCUAAAGCUAAAUACCGGCCAGAGACCGAUAGCGCACAAGUAGAGUGAUCGAAAGAUGAAAAGCACCUUGAAAAGGGGGUUAAACAGUACGUGAAAUUGUUGAAAGGGAAGCACUUGUGACCAGACUUGGGCCGGGCGGCUCAUCAGGGGUUCUCCCCUGUGCAUUCCGCCCGGUACAGGCCAGCAUCGGUUCUUACCGGGGGAUAAGAACGGCAGGAACGUGGCUCCCCCUCGGGGGAGUGUUAUAGCCUGCCGUACGAUACCCUGGCGGGGACCGAGGUUCGCGCUUCCGCAAGGAUGCUGGCGUAAUGGUUACUAGUGACCCGUCUUGAAACACGGACCAAGGAGUCGUCCAUUAGAGCGAGCGUUUGGGUGUAAAACCCGCACGCGUAAUGAAAGUGAAAUUAGGUGAGAGCUUCGGCGCAUCAUCGACCGAUCCUGAUGUUCUCGGAUGGAUUUGAGUAAGAGUUUUAACGGACGGACCCGAAAGACAGUGAACUAUGCUUGUAUAGGGUGAAGCCAGAGGAAACUCUGGUGGAGGCUCGCAGCG